GUGCGAAUGCUGACAUGAGUAACGACAAAGGGGGUGAAAAACCUCCUCGCCGGAAGACCAAGGGUUCCUGUCCAACGUUAAUCGGGGCAGGGUGAGUCGACCCCUAAGGUGAGGCCGAAAGGCGUAAUCGAUGGGAAACGGGUUAAUAUUCCCGUACUUCUGACUAUUGCGAUGGGGGGACGGAGAAGGCUAGGUGGGCCAGGCGACGGUUGUCCUGGUUCAAGUGCGUAGGCUUGAGAGUUAGGUAAAUCCGGCUCUCUCUAAGGCUGAGACACGACGUCGAGCUACUACGGUAGUGAAGUCAUUGAUGCCAUGCUUCCAGGAAAAGCCUCUAAGCUUCAGAUAGUCAGGAAUCGUACCCCAAACCGACACAGGUGGUCGGGUAGAGAAUACCAAGGCGCUUGAGAGAACUCGGGUGAAGGAACUAGGCAAAAUGGUACCGUAACUUCGGGAGAAGGUACGCUCUUGAUGGUGAAGUCCCUCGCGGAUGGAGCUGACGAGAGUCGCAGAUACCAGGUGGCUGCAACUGUUUAUUAAAAACACAGCACUGUGCAAAAUCGCAAGAUGACGUAUACGGUGUGACGCCUGCCCGGUGCCGGAAGGUUAAUUGAUGGGGUUAGCGCAAGCGAAGCUCUUGAUCGAAGCCCCGGUAAACGGCGGCCGUAACUAUAACGGUCCUAAGGUAGCGAAAUUCCUUGUCGGGUAAGUUCCGACCUGCACGAAUGGCGUAAUGAUGGCCACGCUGUCUCCACCCGAGACUCAGUGAAAUUGAAAUCGCUGUGAAGAUGCAGUGUACCCGCGGCUAGACGGAAAGACCCCGUGAACCUUUACUACAGCUUGGCACUGAACAUUGAACCUACAUGUGUAGGAUAGGUGGGAGGCUAUGAAGACGUGACGCCAGUUGCGUUGGAGCCGUCCUUGAAAUACCACCCUUGUAUGUUUGAUGUUCUAACUUAGACCCAUUAUCUGGGUUGAGGACAGUGCCUGGUGGGUAGUUUGACUGGGGCGGUCUCCUCCCAAAGAGUAACGGAGGAGCACGAAGGUGGGCUAAUCACGGUUGGACAUCGUGAGGUUAGUGCAAUGGCAUAAGCCCGCUUAACUGCGAGAAUGACGGUUCGAGCAGGUGCGAAAGCAGGUCAUAGUGAUCCGGUGGUUCUGUAUGGAAGGGCCAUCGCUCAACGGAUAAAAGGUACUCCGGGGAUAACAGGCUGAUACCGCCCAAGAGUUCAUAUCGACGGCGGUGUUUGGCACCUCGAUGUCGGCUCAUCACAUCCUGGGGCUGAAGUCGGUCCCAAGGGUAUGGCUGUUCGCCAUUUAAAGUGGUACGCGAGCUGGGUUUAGAACGUCGUGAGACAGUUCGGUCCCUAUCUGCCGUGGGCGUUGGAAGAUUGAAGGGGGCUGCUCCUAGUACGAG
rnacentral:rRNA from 1 species